AUUGAACGCUGGCGGCAUGCUUUACACAUGCAAGUCGAACGGCAGCGCGGGCUUCGGCCUGGCGGCGAGUGGCGAACGGGUGAGUAAUACAUCGGAACGUGCCCAGUAGUGGGGGAUAGCUCGGCGAAAGCCGGAUUAAUACCGCAUACGACCUGAGGGUGAAAGCGGGGGAUCUUCGGACCUCGCGCUAUUGGAGCGGCCGAUGGCAGAUUAGCUAGUUGUGGGGUAAAGGCCUACCAAGGCGACGAUCUGUAGCUGGUCUGAGAGGACGACCAGCCACACUGGGACUGAGACACGGCCCAGACUCCUACGGGAGGCAGCAGUGGGGAAUUUUGGACAAUGGGCGAAAGCCUGAUCCAGCAAUGCCGCGUGUGUGAUGAAGGCCUUCGGGUUGUAAAGCACUUUUGGCGGGAACGAAAAGGACUGUGCCAAUACCACGGUUCGAUGACGGUACCCGCAGAAUAAGCACCGGCUAACUACGUG
rnacentral:rRNA from 1 species